rnacentral:rRNA from 1 species
AGCGAACGCUGGCGGCAGACUUAACACAUGCAAGUCGAGCGCCCCGCAAGGGGAGCGGCAGACGGGUGAGUAACACGUGGGAACGUACCCUUUGGUUCGGAACAACCCAGGGAAACUUGGGCUAAUACCGGAUAAGUCCGCGAGGAGAAAGAUUUAUCGCCGAAGGAUCGGCCCGCGUCUGAUUAGCUAGUUGGUGUGGUAACGGCGCACCAAGGCGACGAUCAGUAGCUGGUCUGAGAGGAUGAUCAGCCACACUGGGACUGAGACACGGCCCAGACUCCUACGGGAGGCAGCAGUGGGGAAUAUUGGACAAUGGGGGCAACCCUGAUCCAGCCAUGCCGCGUGAGUGAUGAAGGCCCUAGGGUUGUAAAGCUCUUUCGGUGGGGAAGAUAAUGACGGUACCCACAGAAGAAGCCCCGGCUAACUUCGUG